rnacentral:rRNA from 1 species
CAGCCGCCGCGGGAACACGGAGGGUGCAAGCGUUAAUCGGAAUUACUGGGCGUAAAGCGUGCGUAGGCGGUUCGUUAAGUCUGUUGUGAAAGCCCCGGGCUCAACCUGGGAAUGGCAAUGGAUACUGGCGAGCUAGAGUAUGGCAGAGGGGGGUAGAAUUCCACGUGUAGCAGUGAAAUGCGUAGAGAUGUGGAGGAAUACCGAUGGCGAAGGCAGCCCCCUGGGCCAAUACUGACGCUCAUGCACGAAAGCGUGGGGAGCAAACAGGAUUAGAUACCCGUGUAGUCCCUGUCUCUUAUAC